rnacentral:rRNA from 2 species
GAGACACGGCCCAGACUCGUACGGGAGGCAGCAGUAGGGAAUCUUCCGCAAUGGACGAAAGUCUGACGGAGCAACGCCGCGUGAGUGAUGAAGGGUUUCGGCUCGUAAAGCUCUGUUAUGAGGGAAGAACACGUACCGUUCGAAUAGGGCGGUACCUUGACGGUACCUCAUCAGAAAGCCACGGCUAACUACGUGCCAGCAGCCGCGGUAAUACGUAGGUGGCAAGCGUUGUCCGGAAUUAUUGGGCGUAAAGCGCGCGCAGGCGGCCUUUUAAGUCUGAUGUGAAAUCUUGCGGCUCAACCGCAAGCGGCCAUUGGAAACUGGGAGGCUUGAGUACAGAAGAGGAGAGUGGAAUUCCACGUGUAGCGGUGAAAUGCGUAGAUAUGUGGAGGAACACCAGUGGCGAAGGCGACUCUCUGGUCUGUAACUGACGCUGAGGCGCGAAAGCGUGGGGAGCAAACAGGAUUAGAUACCCUGGUAGUCCACGCCGUAAACGAUGAGUGCUAGGUGUUAGGGGUUUCGAUGCCCGUAGUGCCGAAGUUAACACAUUAAGCACUCCGCCUGGGGAGUACGGCCGCAAGGCUGAAACUCAAAGGAAUUGACGGGGGCCCGCACAAGCAGUGGAGCAUGUGGUUUAAUUCGAAGCAACGCGAAGAACCUUACCAGGUCUUGACAUCCUUUGACCACUCUGGAGACAGAGCUUCCCCUUCGGGGGCAAAGUGACAGG